UGGUGUGAGGAGAGCCUGUCUAAAAAGGGGAGGGUGUAUACAGCGCCAUCAAGGGGACUCAGUUCAGCUGCGAUGGUACUUCACAGCAAGUGUAGUUUGUAGGAAUAGGGCGAGUGUGUAGCCAAUGAUUGGGAAAGGGCCGAUGAGGAGGAGGCUAUUUUGCCCCCAAAUGGUGGCAACAGAAGACAUGGAAAACAAAAAUCAGCCAUUUUGGAUCACUCUUGGUCAGAAAAAGUGGACAAAAUAUGCAUCAAAAGGAUUUUGAUGAGUAGCUGACAUCACAG